rnacentral:lncRNA from 1 species
CUGGUUCAAUAAACCUUACAGUUCCUGUGUAAGGGAAAACUUGCUGCUGACUACAUCUCAACGUCCCACUUGGGGUAACCAACAAGGUGCGAGAAGUAUAUACAUCAUCUCGUCAUCACACACUCAUUUGAUACAUAAAUUCCAAGAAAAAUACAAAUUUUGGGGUACAAGACCACGAAGGUCCAUGGGGUUAAACAAAAUGUCUAGAGGGUGACGGCGGAAGCGACUCGUGGAUCCCCAGCGUCCAUGGGACUCCAUUCCCACAGGAACCGCUAACCUGGAUAACUCCCAUCUCACAAGGCCGCUACCUCGACUCCUAGAUUCCAUGGUUGAUGUCAUCGUGCUCCUCUCC